ACGAAGGGGGCUAGCGUUGUUCGGAAUCACUGGGCGUAAAGCGUACGUAGGCGGAUGCUUAAGUCAGAGGUGAAAGCCUGGAGCUCAACUCCAGAACUGCCUUUGAUACUGGGCGUCUUGAGUCCGGGAGAGGUGAGUGGAACUGCUAGUGUAGGGGUGAAAUUCGUAGAUAUUAGCAAGAACACCAAUGGCGAAGGCGGCUCACUGGCCCAGUACUGACGCUGAGGUACGAAAGCGUGGGGAGCAAACAG
rnacentral:rRNA from 1 species